ensembl:lncRNA
GGGAGUUUAAGAGUGAAUAUAGAAACAGAAAAGGAAAAGGUUCAAAUAUAAAACUAAUAAUAUAUAUUUUUUAAAUAUAUAUAAAUCCAAUGACUCAUCUGUCCGUAUCAUCCAUCCAUGGUUUAAAUUGGUCACAUACACAUGGUUAGCAGAUGUUAAUGCGAGUGUAGCGAAAUGCUUGUGCUUCUAGUUCCGACAAUGCAGUAAUAACCAACGAGUGAUCUAACCUAACAAUUUCACAACUACUACCUUAUAGACACAAGUGUAAAGGCAUGAAGAAUAUGUACGGUUUACAUCCGUAUCAUCCAUCCAGGGUAUUAUUCAUCCAUCCAGGGUGUUAUUCAUCCAUCCAGGGUGUUAUUCAUCCAUCCAGGGUGUUAUUCAUCCAUCCAGGGUGUUAUUCAUCCAUCCAGGGUAUUAUUCAUCCAUCCAGGGUAUUAUUCAUCCAUCCAGGGUGUUAUUCAUCCAUCCAGGGUGUUAUUCAUCCAUCCAGGGUGUUAUUCAUCCAUCCAGGGUAUUAUUCAUCCAUCCAGGGUAUUAUUCAUCCAUCCAGGGUGUUAUUCAUCCAUCCAGGGUGUUAUUCAUCCAACCAGGGUAUUAUUCAUCCAUCCAGGGUAUUAUUCAUCCAUCCAGGGUAUUAUUCAUCCAUCCAGGGUGUUAUUCAUCCAUCCAGGGUGUUAUUCAUCCAUCCAGGGUGUUAUUCAUCCAUCCAGGGUGUUAUUCAUCCAUCCAGGGUAUUAUUCAUCCAUCCAGGGUGUUAUUCAUCCAUCCAGGGUAUUAUUCAUCCAUCCAGGGUAUUAUUCAUCCAUCCAGGGUGUUAUUCAUCCAUCCAGGGUGUUAUUCAUCCAUCCAGGGUAUUAUUCAUCAUCCAGGGUAUUAUUCAUCCAUCCAGGGUAUUAUUCAUCCAUCCAGGGUGUUAUUCAUCCAUCCAGUGUAUGAUUCAUCCAUCCAGGGUGUUAUUCAUCCAUCCAGGGUGUUAUUCAUCCAUCCAGGGUAUUAUUCAUCCAUCCAGGGUAUUAUUCAUCCAUCCAGGGUGUUAUUCAUCCAUCCAGUGUAUGAUUCAUCCAUCCAGGGUAUUAUUCAUCCAUCCAGGGUGUUAUUCAUCCAUCCAUCUAUUCCAAAUUUCCCUUGUUGUUUAUACUUUUUUGGUCGAUCCAUUUCUCUGUCAGGCAGUCAGGCACGGAGAUGGCUCUCCCCGUGGGAUGUUU